UUGGUGAGGUAAUGGCUCACCAAGGCGACGAUCCGUAACUGGUCUGAGAGGAUGAUCAGUCACACCGGAACUGAGACACGGUCCGGACUCCUACGGGAGGCAGCAGUGGGGAAUCUUGGACAAUGGGCGCAAGCCUGAUCCAGCCAUGCCGCGUGAGUGAUGAAGGCCCUAGGGUUGUAAAGCUCUUUCAGUGGGGACGAUAAUGACGGUACCCACAGAAGAAGCCCCGGCUAACUUCGUGCCAGCAGCCGCGGUAAUACGAAGGGGGCUAGCG
rnacentral:rRNA from 14 species